UGUUGACUUACUUCCCACAGAAAGUGGGGAAAUUUCGGGAUAAAAGAAAAGGAGGCCGGAGGAUCUCGACUAACUGUGAUUAAAACUUCCUAGUCUCAAAAGAUGUUAAAAUGAAAAGGAGCCACGGUCUUGGGUCACUUCCUUCAUAUUCUUUUGUAUGGAGGAAUAACUUUUGCAGAUCCCCAACAAUUCUCUAUUUUUCCAGGACCACCGCUCCGCUCCCCCUCCUUUUCCACCAUGCCACCCUAUAGUCUUCAUAAUACGUGCUUCCUUGGUGGCAGUCAUUUUGCAAGUACCAAAUCCCCCAACCAGAUUUGAUCUUAACUGGGUUUUUAAUGAUGUAAUCUGUAAUAUUGACCUGAAAUUGCUUAUUUUUUACCGCAUAGCAACAACUAUAAGAAAGAUCAGGUAAUGGAGCUGCGUUGAAUAGUACAUAGAAUGAUGGAACAGAGACAGCAAGAAGUUGAAGCAAAGAUUGAUUAAUAAUCAAGCCGAGUUUGUUGAAUGGUCAGAUUUCAAUGCUUGAAAACCUGAUAAAUAAGUGGAAGAGAAAUGGUUACCAAGUUUGAUUGUUAAACUACGAUUUAUAGAAAUAAAAUAAAAUUGUGUACACC